CCUUGAUUUCCAUGUAAACACACAGAGGUGUAAAUGGCCUUAGAUGCUGAAGCAUUGCUUUAAAAUAAACUUAUCUUACUACUACUUUCUUUCUUUCUUCCUUCAUUUUUUCUUUUCUUUUGUUAUCCCAAUAUUAAGUCAAUUGUAACCUGUUUGUGAACGUAAUUAACCUCUGAUAAGUUUGCAUGGAUCAGAUGCGAUUAAUUUCUCUAACGUUGGAGAAUUUGAAGGUCAACUUUCAUAUCUAAUUUACUGGAGCACAGACCUAUCAAGGUUACACUGUACACACAGUUUUAUGGGCAAGAUGUUCACUUCCUUUUCUUUUUUAAUUUUAGCCACCAAACCAAAUUGAUUCGUUGAUUUUUGUUGGCUUCUAUCUUUUGUAGGUUCUUUUUAAUUUUUUUUAAAACAGAUAAUUAUACCUCUUUGUAAUUAGAAUGUUACUUUUCAGGUGACUAACAUUGGUCAAACACUCAAAACUGUUUCAUUGCUUUUCUCUUGUCAUUCCCAAUUUUAAAAUGUUAUGAUUUGUGCAAAUCACCUGAAAUUUAUUACUCUCUUGUUCACAUAUCAUAUAGAAUGCAUCUUGGGAAAGUGUUGGUCUUUAAAAGAAGUAAAUGAUCCAAUUUCAUUGUACAAACUUGGCAGAAAGGUUUUACCCUUACCCUUUUAUCCAACCGAUACCCCUGUUUAUUUAAGAAGGUAAGCAUUAGUUUAAACAUACUUUGAGUCCAGGGCUUAAGUAUCAUUUUUCUAAGAAAAAGUCAUUCAAGCUCCUAUUUAUUGAAAUAUGCUGUUAUAGAGUGGAAAUCCUCAAUCUAAGUCUAUCCAAUCGGCCACUAUAAUAGGUGCAUUACCUUCCAUGCCCAGAACAGAGAGAAUGGGCAAAGGUAGCCACUUUAGAAUUGUUAACUUGAUCUAAAAAAAAUUUGAUCAUUUCAGCAUCUUGAAUUGAGAAGGUAAGCAGCAUGCAAACACUAACUGAAAGUUCAGUGUAUGACUACUUAUUGCAAUUAUGUACUUCCUAGAAGUAACCUACCCUCUGUGAAAUUUUUCUAAUUUCUCAAUGUAGCUGCUGUUAAUAAUGGUUGAUGUGACCGGGGAGUAAGGUUCGAGCUGAUCUUGAACAUCUUAUAUUUUAUUGGAAAGUUCCGUAUUUCAAUCAGUGAAGUUGAUAUUUUUACAAGAAAGAGGGGUUUUGGAAAGAUGCACACAAUUUUGCUAGAAUGGUAAAAAUGUGAAAACAUAGAACUUAUUUGCAUGUCAGGUCAUUUAACAUGCAGCCUACCUUGUACUUAAAAUUUACCUGUUUUUUUCACAAUGUACUUGUUUUUCACUACAAACCUAGCAGUUUGAGGAUGUCUUACUAAAUCUGAACACUCAAUGGCAUUCUUUGAAAGCUGUUACGGCAACUGAAAAAACUAUGUACCCAUGCAGAAUACUUAAACAAAUUUCUCUUUCUUGCAAGCUCUUCACUCAAAAGUUUUGUUGAAAAAUCGUAUUGAAUAAUUUGUAAUCCCAAUGAUUCAAUAGUUGAAUUGUAUGACCUUUGAGUUGUUUCCAUUUUCCUCAUUUAAAUCUAGUCCAUUAUUGCUCAUAAGUUCACCUUAAACUUCGUAUUUUGAUUAGUAAUUAGGAGAUUAAUUUUAUUACGCUGAAGACGAGCCUGUUCAUGCAAUCGUAUCUUUAGAUUUUGUUAAAAUGCCUUUUAUCUUUAAGACAGUUUUCACAGUUUCAAUAAUUGAUUUAACCACUCUUUUGUCUUCGUUAUCUAGUGUUUAAUGCUGCUAUUUAAUCAUGGUUUCUUGAUUUUCAUCAUAACCUUGAAAGGUGUUUUGUCUUCCAUAUCUUCAUUUCUUUUUUGUACUGACUCAGAAAUCAAGUCAAGCAAACAAUGAGACAAUUUGAGGCAGGUUUUUUCCUUCCUUUUUUUGCACAUUCUUCAGUCAGUAAAAUGAGUCAUACCCCUUAACCUGCUUCAUGUAAUACUGAUGAUCACAAAAUAAUUACCAAUGAGUCAGUGUGACCAUUCUGAUCACAGAAUCAUGUAAUAAUGCUUGGUCCUUGUUGGUCAGCUUUAAAUAAUAUCUGUCCAAAAAGCAACUCUCUACGUUCAAUAUAAACUGGGAUAAUGUCCUUUGAAAAAUCCAGUUCGUGACAUCAUCCACCGCGGUAGUGAACGUCAAUAACCAAAUUUUACAAAGUACGAUACCUCGGUUAAUAUUGCACGUAGAAAGUUGUUGUCUGGACGUAUCUUAUUAUUUUCAGCUAAUCUACCAUAAUCAAGCAUCAUAACACGAUCUUUUGACCAGCGCAACUGAUCCAUAACAAAUGGUCCAAAGUUUUUGAGGGUAAACAGUUCCUGAAUUGGAGGGUAUCACUGACUAGGGAGUUAAAAGAUGCCUUUAAAAAUUGAGAUUUCUUGUAGUAAGAGUACAUGUAGCAAAGGUUCACAAAAUGAGAAAAAUUGAACAUAAGCGCUCAUUAUUUUGCCUCAAUGUUAGAAUUUAAAAUUCAUUCCUCAAAGUCUUUGUUACAGCCCUUUGUUGGCUUACCUAUCAGAUGGCAGCUGACCUCGAGGGAGAAAUGUGAUGUGCAUCAAUCAUGUUGAGUUUGAUCAUUCCAUGCCAACUCAUCCAGCUAUGUAACCUACCCUCUCAGAUCCUGAUGAAACAUUUCCAUGUUAUCUAUGGACGGAAAUAUGAAUUCUAGCAAAAUGGCAACCCUUCCUGAAAACUUGGAGAUUACAUGAAAAAUCAUUUCAUCAAGAUCUAAGAAAGUUUACUACGAACCUACAGUAAAGAGAGCUUGGUUUAACUUCAUGGUCUCCCUACUAAUAGAGCUUCUUAAAAAGUACCUGUUUAAAAAUGAUAAGAUUUAUGUAUGUAAACUUCAGUUAAAAGUAUGUUCAAAGAAAAUAACAUUUAGGUACACGAUUUUUAAUUAAAGUUUAAUUCAAUUGUUAGUUAAUGGUUUUCAACCUUUGCAUAAUGUAGUCCUGAACUUCUGUGUAUAUUAAGAUCACUACUGAAAAAUUUGUGUCCAGAAUGUACCUAAUGUAUCAACACGAUCUUUAAACAACUUUAGCAGUAUUCAUCAUCUCAUCUGGGUACAUAAAAUUUAAAUACAUUUUUCAUUACAUUAUACAUUUUUAAGUUUCACACAUGCAUUAAAAAUUUUUAUUUUGUGAAAUUUGCAUAAUUUUUUAACGAAAACAUUAAAAGCAAGACUGCUUGUAUUUAAUGUCUAAAAUGUAUUAAUGUCUACUUAGAAUAUUAUUUGACAUUAAUACCUACAGUCAUACAUUUUAUACGUAGCACACCUGCAAAUGGUUACACUUGGUUAGGUAGCAAGUAUUAAAUACAACCCAUACAAAUAUUACAGUUAAGUAGUUGGCCUUUGUAGUUUCUUUUAUCAAUGUUAAAAGCUACUUCUUGACAGUAAAUCCGCAUGAAUGUAUAUCUUGGUCACAGUGUUUCAAAAUUUCCACAAUCAUUAUAAUUUCUUACAUGGAGACCGAACCAAAAUCAUACCUUUAAAUUGCAGAAUAUUUUUCUCCCAGAAAAGUCUCUCUCAAAAGUCUCACUCUAUCAUUCAGAGUCCAUGUUGAGAGUCAGAGGGCGUGAAAUGUGCCACAACAGUAAAUAUUUGAAUCAGUGAGAACGAAAACACACCAACUCGAAAAAAUGAAAAUAAUCAAGACUCACACACCACUGCAUAUUAGGCGAAGAAGCUAGUCUAAGAAAAAGAUUUUUGCUGCCUAAAAGCAAGUACUUAAGGAAAUUUUAAAUGUCCAAGUUGGAACAGAUACGGUAACUUCAAUGGCCUUUAUGAAAAUUGCCUGUCCUCAGUGAAAAGUGAGCAUUUUCGAGUUACUGAGUUGGUGUGUUUUGGUUCUCACUGAUUCAUUUCAAGAUUGACAAUUAUGAUCAAAUCUAGAUCACCUUAUCUUAAUAGAGCACUUUUAUUUUUCCACGGGUUAAGAUAAGAUAAAAGCAAGGAACAUUAAUGGUUAAGUCAGCAAAUUUCUAAAAAAAUUGUAUUAUUUCGGUAGAUUGUUUCCAAGAAGUAAUUCCAAAUUUUUUAACUGUCAAAAUAUUUACCCCUAUGUGACAGUUUGGAAACAACCCAACCCUGAGGACAAAAUAUAAGGGCAAACACGAUUCAAGCCAUGGUUUUCAUUGUUUCCAUAAUGGUUUUAGUGCAUGUUGCUGAUCUGUCAAAAAUGAGACUAAUAGGCAGUGAUAUAAAAAAUUUUGCCUUUUUCGUUUUGGAAAAUUGUAUGAGUACAGCAAUGGGUCUAUUUCAAAUGACCAAAACCUGCCAACGUUGACCUUAUUAGAGUUGGUUAAAACUUUAUAGAACCAAUAAAAGUUGCAUCUAAUCUUACACAUCGUUUUUCUGAAGGAAAUUUGAUUUCUUAAUUUUUCAGUGAUUAUUUUAUUACUUUCAAAACAGACAGUCUUUCGCUUUUACUGAAUAUCAUGUUCCCAUAAUGUUACUUAAAUAUGAAUAAAAUUUCUCUGGUCAAAUAUUCUA